CUACUUUACAAAUACAUCAUCACACGCACAAACGCCUUCCUCCCCUUGGCUCUACUGUGACCGACGUUCUUCGGCAAUGUUUGUUUGAGUUAUGACAUGAAUUGAAGAUAAUGAAUACUUUGAAUCGCUUUUAAAAGGGAGGAGGGGAAUCUCGUGCUUUUUGAGGCUUUGACAAAAACAUUGUCGACAUCACAUCCAGGAAGAUUGGCGUUGGGGUUUGAGAGUUGAAUGAGUAAUUUUCUUCUACUCAGCUUCACUGUGACACAUAUGCCUCGCUGUUGGCCCCCCGCGGGGUGGCAGGAGUACUGCAUUUAACGGUUUCAUCAAGCCUAUUUGGGCGAUGUUCGGUGGGCCAAAUGAAAAGCCAUGGCGGGGGCCGCCAUUUCAUUAGGCCUGGUCUAACCCCAAUCAAAAAUGUUGAAACAAUAUCUGAACAGUAGACAUUUUUCGAAGAAAAUAUGGAAAAAGCUGCUGAUGGUGUGUUUGACGGAGAAGCAGCUGGAAGCAUAUACCGUAAAUGCUGUACAUUAUUAUAACAUGACUUCAUACAAGUACUAUAGUUGUCAGUAAUACAUUCUACUGUAUUGUUUUUAUACAAUAUUUAUUAUCUAAAAGUUUGUUUUUGUUUUUGUUUUUCAUGUUACGUGUUAAAACUGUGCUGUUCUGAAAAUGUAUUCUAAUAAAUUUCAAUGAGAGACCUUGAGU